rnacentral:rRNA from 1 species
GAAGGUAGCGUAAUCAUUUGUCUUUUAAAUAGAGACCUGUAUGAAUGGCAUAACGAGGGUUUAACUGUCUCCCUCCCCUAGUCAAUGAAAUUGAUCUGCCCGUGCAGAAGCGGACAUAAAUACAUAAGACGAGAAGACCCUAUGGAGCUUUAGACAAAAGAUCAAACAUGUAAAGAAACCAAACUAACCAAAAGGAACACAAAGGCCACAAAACCCGACGUAAAAUGAUCCAAAUGUCUUCGGUUGGGGCGACCAUGGGGGAAAGAAAAACCCCCACGAGGAACCAGGGGCAAUCCAUUAAGCCAAGAGAUACACCUCUAAGCAACAGAAAAUCUGACCAAAAAUGACCCAGGACACUAAUCCUGAUCAACGAACCAAGUUACCCUAGGGAUAACAGCGCAAUCCUUUCCCAGAGUCCAUAUCGACGAAAGGGUUUACGACCUCGAUGUUGGAUCAGGACAUCCUAAUGGUGCAGCCGCUAUUAAGGGUUCGUUUGUUC